rnacentral:rRNA from 1 species
UACAGAGGGGGCAAGCGUUAUUCGGAAUUAUUGGGCGUAAAGGGCGCGUAGGCGGCUUGGCAAGUGGAUGGUGAAAUCCCUCGGCUUAACCGAGGAACUGCCGUCCAAACCUGCUUCGCUUGAGACCGGGAGAGGUGAGUGGAAUUCCCAGUGUAGCGGUGAAAUGCGUAGAUAUAGGGAAGAACACCAAUCAGGCGAAGGCAGUUAACUAUUCUAUUCCUGACAUUGAGGCAUGAAAGCGUGGGGAGCAAAACGG